rnacentral:rRNA from 1 species
UACGUAGGUGACCAGCGUUGUCCGGAUUUACUGGGCGUAAAGAGCGCGCAGGCGGUCGUUCAAGUCGAGUGUGAAAGCCCCCGGCUCAACUGGGGAGGGUCAUUCGAUACUGGUCGACUCGAAGGCAGGAGAGGGAAGUGGAAUUCCCGGUGUAGUGGUGAAAUGCGUAGAUAUCGGGAGGAACACCAGUGGCGAAGGCGACUUCCUGGCCUGUUCUUGACGCUGAGGCGCGAAAGCUAGGGGAGCAAACGGG